UCCCCUGUAGCUCAAUGGUAGAGCGGCAUCCUGUUAAGAUGAUGGUUGGAGGUUCGAGUCCUCCCGGGGGAG
rnacentral:tRNA from 1 species